rnacentral:lncRNA from 1 species
UGACACGCUUCUUACCAAGAUGGCGGGUAAUCUCCGUUCGGAGUUUGAUGUGAUCGUAAUAGGGAUGGAUAUAAAACAACCAAAUAUCAGUUUGGUCAGAGAAUAAUCUCUAAGCAUUUCAUGGUGGAGGACAGUUACUUUUCAGAGAACACAUGCUCAAGUGUACAAUACGGGUAAGGCA